rnacentral:rRNA from 1 species
UACGGGGGGGGGCAAGCGUUGUUCGGAAUUACUGGGCGUAAAGCGCACGUAGGCGGCUUUGUAAGUUAGAGGUGAAAGCCCAGGGCUCAACCCUGGAAUUGCCUUUAAGACUGCAUCGCUUGAACAUCGGAGAGGUAAGUGGAAUUCCGAGUGUAGAGGUGAAAUUCGUAGAUAUUCGGAAGAACACCAGUGGCGAAGGCGACUUACUGGACGAUUGUUGACGCUGAGGUGCGAAAGCGUGGGGAGCAAACAGG